AGACGGAGGGAGCGAGCGUUGCUCGGAAUCACUGGGCGUAAAGGGCGUGUAGGCGGGACAGCAAGUCGGGUGUGAAAGCCCUGGGCUCAACCCAGGAAGUGCAUUCGAAACUACUGUUCUUGAGUAUGGCAGAGGAGAGCGGAAUUCCCGGUGUAGCGGUGAAAUGCGUAGAUAUCGGGAGGAACAUCUGUGGCGAAGGCGGCUCUCUGGGUCACAACUGACGCUGAGGCGCGAAAGCUAGGGGAGCAAACGGGAUUAGAAACCCCAGUAGUCC
rnacentral:rRNA from 1 species